rnacentral:rRNA from 1 species
GAUGAACGCUAGCGGCAGGCCUAAUACAUGCAAGUCGAACGGUAAGGCCCUUUCGGGGGUACACGAGUGGCGGACGGGUGCGUAACGCGUAUGCAACAUGCCUUCCAGCGGGGGAUAUACCAGGGAAACUUGGCGCAAUACCCCAUAGAAUUACGGGACCGCAUGGUCUUGUGAUUAAAACUCCGGUGCUGGGAGAUUGGCAUGCGUGACAUUAGCUAGUUGGCGGGGUAACGGCCCACCAAGGCGACGAUGUCUAGCUGGUCUGAGAGGAUGAUCAGCCACACUGGGACUGAGACACGGCCCAGACUCCUACGGGAGGCAGCAGUAGGGAAUAUUGGACAAUGGGGGGAACCCUGAUCCAGCCAUGCCGCGUGCGGGAAGAAGGCCUCGG